rnacentral:rRNA from 1 species
AUGAAGACGUGCCGCUGGCGCGCCGCCGCCGCUCCUCCUCUACAACCUUGGAUCGGACGGAGUCCCAUGGCGGUCGGGAAGUCAACGGACCUCGAACCCAAAGGGCCUCCACCUUGCAUCGUCGCCAUCGCCUUCGAUCUGGACCUCAUCACCUGCAUCUUCCAAACUUUCAACAACCGGAGCCGCCGCCUACGGACUCCGGCACGGGAAGAAGGCGCACGGCAACUCCGCCGAGUUACGAGCACCAGGAAGGAGGCGGGGAAGUGGUCGGAUUCCGCAGAACCCCGCCACCGGAGAAGAUCACCGCCGCCACAAACCACCAACCCGACAGCGCCUUCCUCUCCACGGCGCUGCCGGCGAACCACCCACUCCAUCCUAGCUAUGUACAGACGGGAACCGAGGUUUCCCCACCCUCCCGCCGCCGAAGCGGCCGGCAGAGGGGGGGAAACCAGCGAGCNNNNNNNNNNAACAUAA